rnacentral:siRNA from 1 species
UAUUUGGUGUCACACUCUGG